rnacentral:siRNA from 1 species
ACGCAGCCAUGUGGUGAGCACA